rnacentral:rRNA from 1 species
AGGACGACGCUGGCGGCGUGCUUCAUACAUGCAAGUCGAACGAUAAGGUUCCUUCGGGAAUACAUAAGUGGCGGACGGGUGAGUAAUAUGUAGAGAAUCUGCCUUCAAGCGGGGGACAACAGAGGGAAACUUCUGCUAAUACCCCAUAUGAGCGUACCUGUGAUGGUAUUCUUGAAAGCUCCGGCGCUUGGAGAUGAGUCUGCAUCUGAUUAGCUAGUUGGGGGUGUAAUGGACCACCAAGGCGACGAUCAGUAGCUGGUUUGAGAGGAUGAUCAGCCACAAUGGGACUGAGACACGGCCCAUACUCCUACGGGAGGCAGCAGUAGGGAAUUUUGCGCAAUGGGCGAAAGCCUGACGCAGCCAACGCCGCGUGAUCGCAGACGGCCUUCGGGUUGUAAAGAUCUGUCAGUAGGGACGAACAAUGACUGUACCUACAGAGGAAGCACCGGCUAACUCCGUGCCAGCAGCCGC